GACCAAAGUGUUGAGUUCAGUUCUGGGCUCCUUCCCCAGUCCUGGUAAUUAAUCUUUGGUACAUCAGAUGGCUGAAGAUGAGCAUUUGAGAAGUUGCACUUGUGGUGCUGCUUUACAUCUUCACCAACAGGC